GGUGACGUGGCUCGAUCUGAGGAUGGGUGCGUCGAACCGUCGGGCCGACGGACGACCCGGAUGACGCCACAUGGCACGAUCUGGGAAUUUCUCGUUGGUCGUGCCUUCAUCUCGGCCGUCGGGGGGUACUAUAUAUAUACAAGGUCGCCCAUACCCAAGUUUUUACCCUCCCCACACUUUGCUGUCGAGACUCUGCCCGCGUAAUCCCUCAUCCCAGGUACUCUUCUCCGCUUCCUUUCUUCUUAGGAGUUCCC
rnacentral:lncRNA from 1 species